UACAGAGGGUGCGAGCGUUUAAUCGGAAUUACUGGGCGUAAAGCGUGCGCAGGCGGUUUUGUAAGUCUGUCGUGAAAUCCCCGGGCUCAACCUGGGAAUUGCGAUGGAGACUGCAAGGCUAGAAUCUGGCAGAGGGGGGGUAGAAUUCCACGUGUAGCAGUGAAAUGCGUAGAUAUCGGGAGGAACACCAGUGGCGAAGGCGGCUUUCUGGUCUGCUCUUGACGCUGAGGCGCGAAAGCUAGGGUAGCAAACGGGG
rnacentral:rRNA from 1 species